AAAAAAAAAAAAAAAAAAAAAAAGAAGAAUGUGCAGUGAGCAAUCAUAUAUUCCCUUUAAAUAGUCUCAGUACUGUCAUUUUGAGUUUACCCUCUGUCUCCCCUAUUUUUUAUAUUUACAGUUUUUUAAUAUUAGGUUUUUACUAAAAUAAAAAUUUCACAUCGUGAUUUAUCAGAUGGAUCCUAUCCAUUUCUCAAUUUAAUAAAUAAUAUUUCUUAAAACUUUUCUUGUCUUACUAUAUUCUCAGCAUUUUGUAACACUAAAUAUUUAAAAUGCAAUAUUUAUAUCUUUUUGGACUUUACAUUGAUAUAUAUAAACUUUCGAAUAUUAUUAUGUUAGAUACACAAUUUCUAACCAGAGAGGAAUUUACAUAGUAAAUAAAAUGAUAUUUAUCAUAUUUUUGUAAUUCUAUUAGAAUUAUCUACAUUUUUAUAUGUGUAAAGCUCAUAUAAUUGGUUUUGCAUUCUUAAUGAAAGUUUGUUAAUAGAACUAAUAUAAUUAUAUCAUGGAAGAAAAACUAAUAGAAUUUAUUUUUAAAAAAUGAUAUCAAUCUAUCAAUUUUAUUGGGCACUAAAACAUUUAGGGUCCUGCCAUUGACCAAUACUGUCUACCUCCCAUAUAUCUACCAUUAAGCCAAUACAAUUAUUUAAACACUUUUGUAGAGAAUUUUUUUCUACAUUUGAUAUUUAUAGAAAGACCUAAAAAGAAAUAAAAUCUAUACUUUAUCAAUAAUAUAAUUCUGAAAGGUCGUUUUGAGAUAUAUGUGAUAUAAUAUUAUAAUAUUUAAUUUAUAUAUGAUAUCUAAACUUUACCAAAUACUAAAGUUUUAUAUUUUGAUUAGUCUACAUUGAGAUUACAUAUUGUUUCAUUAAAAUAUUUUAUUUUUAUUUUAUGCUAAAUUUAUAAUCAAUAUUAGAGCAUUUAUUACUUGGUCAUAGGUUUUACUAGAGUUGAAUUUCAUAAAAUAUUAAAUUUGGUCAAAUUAAAAACAUUUGACUCAUUUAGAAUAUGUAAAGAGUAGCGAGCCAAAAGAAGUUGAACUUCUCAAAUAUAAAUUAAAUUUUCAAGCGCAAAGCUCAUGGUACAAUCAAGAAUCUGAAUAACUUUUGAAUGGCCACAUUAUUGUAUAUGAAUUACAUACAUGUAUAUGUAUGAUAGAAUAUAUAUAUAUAUAUAUGUUUUCUUGGUAGUGAAUGAGAGGAGGAAAAAAAAUAAGAGGAGAAACAAUGAGAAAAAGAAAAGUUCAUAAAAACAAAAAUCACAAAAUCAUAAAGUUUUUUCAUUCUUAUUGUUCUGCUCUUAUAUUUUUUUCCUGUCUCUCAUUCACCACCAAAAAAACACAUAUAUAUAUAUAUAUAUUUAUGUAUUUUUGUGUAGCAUUUGACCAUGCCAAUCCGAAAUGCUAAACAAAAAUAUAAUUUAUUUUUCCAGAUUACAGGCCAAGAGAUAGUAUGGAGAUAUAUAGAAGGCGAUGGUAUGAGGGUUACAAAAAUAUUCAGACUAUUAACUCAGAUUAAAAAUUCUGUGAGAAGAAAAUUCAGAUAUGAUUCCAGAAUUAUUUGUUGAGAAUCAAUCCAAAGUUCCACAUCGGAAGUUUAGACUAAUAUGGUCUAAUAUAUAAGUAAUGUCCAACUCUAAUUAGUAUGAGGUCUUUUGGGAAGGAGCCCAAAAUCAAAUCCGUGUGGGCUUUGUCAGUUGGGCCCAAAGCAAACAAUAUCAUACUAAUUGAAAAAGUUGGACAUGCGUUUUUCAAGCCCAAUAUUAUUCAGGUGAAAAUUUUCAUCACUAUUUUCAGAAUGAUAGGCUAAAGUGUAAGAGACAUUUUAUUAUUAUUGUAUCUCAAAAAACGUGGAAAUGUUACAUAAGCCUUUAACAGUCUUUUUAAAAAAAAAGCUAUAUUCAAGAUAUUUAGUUUUUUUUUUAAAUAAUAUAUAUAUAUAUAUAUAUAUAUAUACACAUAUAUAUGAUAUUUAAACUCUAUAAAUAAGAGUUUGAUAUUUCUAGUCCAGAUAAAGUAACGUUAUAAUGCUGCCCAAAAAAUAAUACUACAAAUAAUUAUUUUCUAUUAAAUUUACAUUAUAGCAUUUUUUUUUAUAACAUCUAUUUUAUUAGAUAGUAAAAAAGUAAUACAUCAUGUUUACAAGCCAUUUUGGCAAAGAUUGAAAAACAUAAUACAUAGCAUGAAAACAACAAUACAUAAAAUUAAAAACACAAAGCACUAAAUCAAAGAAGAUGAGUUUAAACGAUUUUUUUCUUCGAAUUUUUCUCGCUGAAAAAGUGUCCACACCUUCUUUCCUCGUAAUCGCAUUUGAUCUAAAGCGAUUUUUUUUUUUGCUAUGAUCCAUCUUUUCUCCUGUUGUAUGUUAUUGACACAUUUCCAAGUAAGAACUAAAAAUAUUCUAUGAAUAAGAAUCCAAUCUUUUGAUUCUUUCCAUAGAAAAAAUACUUGAAAUUGCCAAUUUUCUACGACUGUACGUAUGUCGCCAUACCACAAGGAGUUUUCAUCUUCCGCUCCAAACCCUUGUCCCCUCCAUGGUGGUUUCCAUGUUUGUUGUUCCCAUAGUAAUGCCAUAUCCGGCUGAAUAGAAUCAUCGAAGAAGAUCAAACAUAAAACCCAAAUUCGCCAAUCAUCGUUUCCAUGACUCCUAACUUCUCCUAUUCCCGGAUCAAAAACCCAAAUUACAUCUCCAAACCAUACAGUGGAGGAUAAUAAAAACUGCUGUGAGUGUUGAUUUAAUCUUGGAUCAAUUUGAGUAAAUUGGUUCAAGAAAGAAUUAAAAUCCCAACCAAAGACUUGACGAAUUAUAGCAUUUAUUAUUUGGUCAUAGGUGUUACUAUAGAUGAAUUUAAUGGAAAUGUUAUUUUUGGUCAAAUCAAAAUUAUUUAAUAUUUAUAAUAUGUAAAAAUUUGAUCCAAAAGAAGUUAAAACAUAAAUAGAAUCUCAAACCACAUGAUACAAACAAGAAUCUGAAAAAAAGUUUGGAAUCUCCAAUAUGAUAUACAUUUGCAUUAUUAAAAAAAAAUGGCACUCAUUGUUCUUCUCUCAAUGCUUUUUUUUGUUUCCUUCUCUCAUUCACCACCACGAAAACACACACACAUAUAUAUAUAUAUAUAUAUAUAAAUAUAUAUAUAUGUCAUGCAUUAUCAUUUAUCAUCUCAUCGAUCUAACUCAUGCACUCAGGAUCAUCAUCAAAAUGAUCUUCUCCCUCCAUAGCCUCUCUUGGAUUUCCGGCUUCCAUAUUCUGUUUUCCGCAGGGCUCCAUCACAUUAUGUUUCUGACUUGUCGACACUAGAUUCAUAGAAAGUGAUUGAUCAUGGUUGGUGUCAGGGGUUGAGUCCAUCAGGGUAUUAAAGGCAGAGUCAUGUCCAAUACACCUCGUCGAAAAAAGAAUAUCUUCCUUAGAAGAGCCAAAAUUUCGAACCAACAGUCAAUAUCCAUCUCAUUGACGUCAAUGUCAAAAUAAAUCAGCUCUUCGAUCGGAACAUCAUUAUCUUCCACAUAAGGAACCAAAGCCAUAUCUUCCAUAUUAGUUUCAAGGGAUUGGGUUUUAUUGGUUUCAAAAGAAGCAUGUCUUCAAGAAGAAGAAAACUUUCUUCAGAAAACAACCAAUCUAUCUGGUCUGUAUUGGUUUCGAAAAUGGUGGUCGUAUUGGUUUGAGAAGAGGUUUCAUAACUUGUUUGACCAGAAGCAAAACCGACAUGGGAAAUGACAUUUUGAGAAAGAACAUGAUUUUCUCCAGAAGAAACCAUACCCAUCUGGUUACUGAUUUCAGAGGGAAUCAUAUUUUCAGAAGCAACAUAGCCUUCUACUGAAGAAAUAUUGGUUUCAGGAACAUUUAUGUUCAUAUCAGUUUGAGGAAGAACAUAAUUUUCUAGGGUAGGAAUCCAAUCCAUCUGGUUCAUAUUGGUUUCAGAUGACUAAUGUUUUCUGUUGAUGGAACACAACCUAUUUGGUUUAUAUUGGUUUCAUGAUCGCGAAUAUUAUCGGUUGAUGGACUCCAACUUAUCUGGUCCAUAUUGGUUUCUAAAGUGUUCAUGGUAAAGUCUAGAUCUGGAAGAAAAUAACUUUCUCCCAUAAUGCACAGAUCAGCUUGAGGAACAUAAGGCUCUGGUAUAUAAAUAAAGUCUAGAUCUAGUUGGUUCCAAUCGAUUUCAAGAACAGAUGAGCUAGGUUGAAAUGGGUUAGGUUCAGACUGAGGAAUACAAAUCCCGGAAGACUCCAUCUGGAAUGCAUCUGUGUUAGAUGCACCAACACUUGAUGACAAACCAUAAAGAACAGGAGGGUUAUCACUACUUAAGCCACUAUGGUUAGAUGCACCAACACUUGAUGACAAACCAGAAAGGACAGGAGGAUUAUCACUUAAGCCACUAUGGUUAGAUUCUCCAACACUUGAUAGCAAACCAGAAAGGACAGGAGGAUUAUCACUACUUAAGAUAAUAUGGUUAACAUCAUGGAUAGAAAAAAUAUGGGAAGGUGGGUUGUUACUUGUGGCUGAAGGAGCGUAAUUGACUUCCAUAGGUGACUUGUUUAAUAGGUUACCAAAAAGUGAGUGUUUACUCAGAUCCAAUUUUCCACCUAGAUGAAACUUGGGCACCAUCUUCGCUUUGCCCUUUUCAGCAGAUUUUUUGAAUGAAUCUGCAUACAAGAAAAACAAAAAACAUUAUUGACACAAAGAUGUUGAAUUGUGAAAAGUAUAUAUAUAGUAAAAGAACAUGACUUGCAUUGGUCGAUGGAUCAGGAGGAUGCUUCCUUCUUUUUCAGAGAAUACCACUUUGUGUUACUUUCAACGAUAUUCUUUGCUAAGUUGGAUGCAUUGAAAGGAUAUUCAUAGUCUGAAGGGUAGUUGAAUGUCUUAUCUGUUGACCUCCAUUCAUUCCUCGACAACGAAUGGUUCAUUAGCUUAACUUGUGCUUUGUAUUUCUGAAACAAUUAAUUAUAGAAUAAAACAGGUUAUCAUAAGGCUAGUAAAAUUAUAUAUUGAAAAAGAGUGUAUAUAAAUGUAUAUAUGAACCUGAAGGUGGCUACCGACUUGGCAAAGAUUCAAGUCUGAGUCAUUCAUAAUGCUCAAUAUGGAUUUAGGACAAGAAUCUGUAGGAUAAAGAACUGUAAUCAAUUGGUAGAAAGAAGAAUUGGUCAAAACAAAAAAAAUCUUACCUUUUGCACCCAAUAUGGAUAUAGCUGUUAAAAAUAUCAUUUGGCGCUCCUGGAGUCAAUACAUUGCAUCGUCUUCCAAUAUUACUCUCCAUAUUUAUUCCUUCCUCUCUCUUGUUCUCAGCCUCAGUGGGAUAAACCGGUUUAGUUUUUCCUUCAUCAAUUGCUUUGCCUUUUCUCUUUUGGUAUGUUUCAGGGGUUGUAAAUGUUUUGACGAAGGGUCGUCUUCCUAACAAAGAUGACUGACUUGUUCUCUGCCUCUUUAUGGUUUCUCUAAGAGAUUCAAUCUGAUUUAGUAUAUUUUUCUCCACAACUUUCUCUUGUUGUUCAGCGAUGUUGAUUUUCUUUAACUCUUGGCUCUUCUUAGGUACCACAUGCUGCCAUAGGUUUUCGAUGUCGUUUUCAGAAAUCGGCUUCGUUAGACAAAAACGUGCACUUUUUGUCAAAAGAUCUGAUGUUUCCUUGGUAUUUAUUUCUGGACUUAUCACUUUAACAUCAAAAAAAUAGAUAAAUUAAUCUGUGGAAGAAAGUAACAAACAGUGUAAAGAGUAAGCGCAAGAAGAAUGUGUAAAUGUUUGCUUACGUAUAAGAGGAAUUUUUUUGUGAAGCAAAGCAGUGAGAAAGGAAUGUGAAUCUAUAUGAGGCAUUUCAAUGUUGGCUAUCACAAGUCCAGUAUCCUUUUGCUUUUCGAUCAUCGAUAAAGCCUCACUUGCCUUGUUCAAGCUCAUCACUAGUACAUCAAUUUAUAUAUUAAAUAUUUACAAAAUCCAAAAAAAAACAUUGUUCAAAACAAUAAUCAAGUUUCUUCCAUUUUAGUUUUAGUUAUAUAAAAAAGUUGAAAAAACAAUAGAUUAACACGCACAUUUUCGAUUAUAUAUGAUGAUUAGCUAACCUAAUACAUAAUAUAUUAUUUAUAUACAUAUUAAUAUUUGAAAGAAAUUUUUUGGGCUAGAACCAGACAUCUAACAAUCUGAUUAUCCGAUUAAAAUAUAGAAUAUAUGUAUUAAAACUCAACAAUUAUACAUCUAGGGUAUUCAAUAAAAAAUUAAUAAAAAAUUAGAGUUCAAAUAUUUUAUUAAAUUCUUUCUUAUCGAUUUUUAUUUAUUUACAAAAAAAUAUUUUAAAAGAGAAAUUUAUAUGCGUAUUAUCAAUUAUAUUUGAUGAUCGACUAAUCUAAUACAUAAUACAUUAUAUAUAUAUAUAUAAAUAUUUGAAAACUUUUUCCAGCUAAUACCAAACAUUCGAAAUCAUGUUAAGAAAUCAUUUCUAAAUAACAUCAGUUAUCAAAAUCUCAUAUAUAUUCCACAAAAUAUAGAUUAUACUAAAAUUUAAUGGUUUUUACAAAAUAGUAUCCAAUAUCUAUGACAUAUUAUUAUCCAAACUAAUAAUCGUAGGUGAUUAGGAUUUUCAACAAAAGGGUUGUAAGAAAAUCAUCUUCAAAACUGAGAUCCAAGACCAAUCAGUAGCCUAUAGCUUUAAUAUUCUGUAAAUUAAAUUAUAAAUUAUAAUUUUCUAUGCGAAUUCACAUUUCUUCAAAUUUGUUCAGAGAUCCUGAUUUAUACAAUGUAGAAAUCUCAAGAUCUAGAGACGUUGAAUUAUAAUCAUCAGGAAAAUAUUCAGCAAAUGCUAAAAUUUACCAUACCAAAUGUAACAAAUUAGAAUAAUACCGUUGAUAUGUAAAUGGAAAAAUGAUCAACAUCAAUAUAAAUGGUAAACAAUUUUUUUUUACCUUUAUACGAAAAUUGCUUAAGCAUUGAAGUGAGAAAUUCAAUUGAUGUAGUGUCAUUAUCGAUUAGCAGAACUGAAAUAUCACCAAUGCGUUCAGGAACUAUGUUUCCAGCCAAAUUUACGGUCAACUUUUCAGUCAUAUUUUCAAAAAUAUAUGAUAUGAAGGUUUGAAAUAAUAACCGAGUUAAGGGGAAAUAAGCUAUUGCAUGGACGUAUAUAAAAGAAAGAAUAGAAAUUGUAGACCCAACAAGGUCAUAAAUUGCAAACAACACCAGAUGAAGAAAACUAUUUUAAUUUCUAUCAAAUAUAUUUCAUUUCAUCAUUGACCCUACCUAUAAUAUAUUUUUUUAACUCUAAAAAUAUACCCAGUCUAAAGUAUAAUCUAUUAGUUUAUAUAAUUCAAAAUCUUAUCAAACACAUGGUAAAUGAUAUUAUAGCAUUGGUAGUGAUAAAUAUAAUUAUUUUGGGAAUAUUAUAGUGUUUCUUGACCGAUAUAAUUUGAGAAUUUACACGAUAGUCAUCGACUUAAAAAUCCAUAUAUAGUUAGUUGUUAUUUCAUUUAUAAAUUUUGACUAGAAAUAUACAAUUAGUUCAUUUUUUAUACAAUGUUUUAGAAAAUGAUUAAUUAAUUAACAAAAAGUAAACAUAGAAAAUUUUUGUAUAUGCAUAAAAGAUUUUUCAUAGAAAAAUUUGGUGGAAUUAUGUUUUCUCUUUUUUCUUAUAAUUAGAUAAUAUUUUUAUUUCAGUCAGGAAAAAAUGUAGCUACAGAUGUGUUUUAGAUUUAUGGAAGCGUAAAAUAUUCUUAAUAUGUAAAGUAAUAUAAGUUCUCUAUAUAUUACACAAAAUAUAAUUCAAAUUUUGUUAAUAGUUUUGAUAUCAAAAGUUAUUCAUGCAUGCGUUUUACAAUUCGAUCCUUACCUUAUUUCGAGUACAAUAGGCAUGUGACUGGUCAAGUUUUUAAACUCUUAAGUAACUUCCAUAAUUACGUAGAAACUCAAAAAAAUUCAAGAAUAGAAUAAGGUUCAUCUUUUUAUAAAUGUUUAAUUUGAAACGUAUGCUAACACUUUAAAAUAAAGUAUUGAUAAUUAUAUGUUGUGAUGUUGUGUAAUGUAUAACUAAUGCUCGUUUAGUAGUGAACUCGUGAUCAAUGAUGGACUCCAGCUACAAGUUUGUUUUCCUUCCGAUCUGUUCACUACACUACAAGAAAGAAGACCUUUUAUAUUGGAAGAUAUCGACGUAAAAUCGACGUAAUGGGCCAUUUACGUCAAAUUAGUGACGAAUGAAAAAUUAUCGUAAAACAAUCAUCGUAAAAGAGAAAUCGUCGUAAAAUCUUCGUAAAUUACCAACACAAUAAAAUCGUCAGAAACAAUUCGUCGCAAAAACGACGUAAACGUUCCAACGAAAGUACGACGAAUUAAUUUUAACACAACAACGACGUAAAAUCGAUGUAAAAUUACAUCGGAUUUACAACAAUUUCGAGACGAUCUAUUUCGCAAAAGUCAAAUAAAUUUAUUAUAGAUCGACGUAAAAUCGUCGUAAUAUAUCGACGUAAAGUCGACAAAAAGUAUAUGGACGUUUUAAAAUAUUUGCCUUUAAUUAGACGUAAAUUUACGACGAGUUUACGUCGAAUUAGAAAAAUAAUUAUUAAAAUUGGAUUUUAAUUUAAUUAUUGAAUUUUUAAAAUAAUCAAAUAAAGGAAAAUUUAAAUUUAAAUUCGAAAAUAAUUCAUAAAUUAAAAUACAAAAUUAAAUACAAUUUAAAAAAAAUAAAAACUAAUCUACACAGUAAAUUCAUAAUCGUCGAGGUUGAGAUCGACGUCUCGAGGAGGCUCUCCGUCAUGUCCGUCCGUCGCUGUUGUACCAUCGUUUCCCGUCUGCACUACGGGAUCCGAAGUCUGACCCUGCGUCUGCUGGUCAGAAGGUCCACCCGCAAUAAUCCUGUGUGCUCGCCGUUGCCUCUCUCGAAAGUGGAUCGUGAAUAUUUCUAAUCCGUUUUUGAAGUCUUCAGUCAAUGACCCAUCAACAUUUUUGGGCGUAUACAUCCACUUUCGUAGAUCGUAUAUAGACAUUUAAAAACAAAUAAAUGACUUUUUGUUUUUGAAUUUUGAUAUAAAUUUCAACUACUAAAAAUUUUACUCAAACAUUCAAAGACUCAAAAAAUUGUGUCUUUAUAUGUUUUUUUGGUUGAUGGAAUAAUGAGAGAAGAAAUGGUAUAUAUAGAUUUUUUGUUUGGUUACCAACAUAUUGCCAUUGAAUAUUAACAUCAAAUUUACGUCGAAAUAAAAUUUACAUUAUAUUUACAUCGAUAUUACGUCAACUACAAGAUGGAGGCCAAUUCAUCGUAUUAUCGAUGUAAAAUUUACGACAAUGUUACGACGAAAUGUAAUUCGUUCUUUAUUCGUCAUAAUGUUGUCGUAAGUUUAUGACGAUUUUACGAGAAUACUAUUUUAUAUCGAAACGACGAAAUAUUUUGACGUCGUACGUAAUUUCGUCGUAAAUUUACUACGACCAUAAAUCGACGUAAAAAAUUCGUUGGAAAUGUCCCUCUUUCUUGUACUAUACAAGGAUUCAUAAAUAAUGAAGCUGUUUUGUUCGGUGAGUGCAUUAAUGUGAGUUAUACAAAAUUUACAUUGGUUACAAAAUUAGGAGACCAUCUCCAUCGGUUUGUUAGGUAAUUUAGAUAAUAAUAAAAAUUAAGAAAUGAUUAAAAAGUUAACAAUUCGGGUUGUUAGGUUGUUGUGGAAGAACCCAGGAAUAUAUAAAAACGUGGCACCAUGUCAUUGGUGGAAGAUUUUUUAUGUGUGUGGGCUAAAAAUCAGGAAUAAGCCCACAUAAAAAUUCUUAAUUUUUUUAAUUAAAAAUUCAUAAUUAAAAAAAUUUUAAGAAACCCAAUCCCAGGUUUAGGGAUGGAGAUGUUUUGCGUGAGUACAUUUUCUCUUUCUUAUAUAAAGUGGAUCCACCAUAACUCCUAAACUAAAUGAGACACACGAUGAGGCCGCAUACAGUGUGGAGAAGGUACACAAAUUCCGCAUUAUCGUUAUAAAAGCUAUGCGAAGUCUUUAAAAAUUAUCUACCGUUCUAAUAACUAACUAAAGUAAUCACGAGAAAUAGUAGUUGGAUAACAAGAUUUUUUUUGUCUUUCUGCUAAGGGCGAAAAAAGUAAUGUAACCUGAGCUCUUUUGCAUCUCUUCUCCGGCGAUGCCGACAGCGUCGGUCUCAUCCUCUUCUCCUCAUGGGGUAGAAAAAACAACCCAAAAAAUCUCCACCAUCCAAACCCUUGUGCCCUCCUCUGCCGCAGGUGAAAUAACCUUCACCAUCUUUGUUUUCACUCAAUGAAGCCGCAAAUCCCUUUGCUCACUCAGUGGCGGGGGAUCCUUCGUCUCUAGCACAGCAAAUCCUUACUGAUUCUGAUUCUCUAGCCUCGACUGACAGCAACUCUCGCUCAGAUCCAAUUGUGAUAGUUCCUGCAACAGUCCAAGCCCCCAAAUAUCAUUUAUGUAAAAGUUGUUGAGACAACAGAUCCAGAACUGAAGAACUCAUCAGUAGAGGCACCAAUUGUCCCGACAAUCCCUGCCUCUGAAUCUGUUUCCGUGAAAUAGUCUUUGGCUGCAGUUCCGGAAAUCCUAAAAAGUUCAAAACCCACUGUGAGUGAUUUGUGGUCAGGAUUAUUCAAAGGUGCUACGAAGCAACUGCAGAAGAAAGGCACAACUUUUACCUUCCCAUCCGAUGAAGCUUAUGUGAAGAUUCUCAAAUAUGUAAUCGAAAAGAACAAAAAAUCCUGGGAAAGUUUCAUCUGUGGGCAAUUAUACACAGAUACGCCCUCCCAGAAAACUGUUCAUAACAUCGUGAAUGGAAUUUGGAGUAAGCAUUUCUGUGAUAUUACAGUAUCAAAGAUAGAGGGCAAUACCUACCUUUUUCAGGAUACCAAAUCCUUCCACUCGACAAUGGGUUUUAACUCAGAGAUUAUGGCAGAUAGAAGGUAAAACGAUGUUUGUCACGAAUUAGGAGUCUGGCUUUGUUCCAUUGAAGCCCGAGCUCUCGUUGUCCCCUAUUUUGCUGAACUAAGAAAUGUUCCUCUACAGUUCUUCAAUGAAGACGGCUUUGAACACAUUGCGGGAUUUGUUGGAGAGCCAAAAUGUCUCCAGCCUAUAACUGCAAACAAGACAAAUCUGUAAGUAACGAAGGUAUUCACGAUAACUGAUCCUCGUAAACCUCUUUCAGAAGUUGUCAAUAUCCAAUUUGAUUCUGGAGAGAUCAAUAGAGUUUUAGUGUCCAGUCUGUGGAUGCCACCACUGUUUUAGUUCUGUAAGAGGUGAAUCAUCAUCUGAGGCAGUGCAAUGAAGCUCCAAUCUUUUGCAAGAAGUGCAACUCAAAAAUUCACGUGGAAGAGAAUUAUGCAAGAACCGUCCUACCUGAACAAAAUAAUCCAAACUCCCAUAGAAACAGAGCCAAGGGAUUAGCUGGAAAUACUUAGAAGUGGGUUAAAGUUGCUGAGAAAUCAUCUGCCAAAUCUGUCAAGUUUACUGAGUCUUCACUGGGGAAAGAAAACAAAUCUUCAAAGGGAGAGUUCAGUGGCGCUGUGGUCUGGUACAUCUUCAAGGGAAGAUCGACGAAAAUGUUAAAGGUCCUCCUAUCCCUGACACAAAAAAAUCAUCAGGAGUGGAAUCAGAUUCUUCGGACGUUGCUUUUGUGGACUUCAGCAAUGUUGUAAACCUGCAGGGUGAGCAGAGUGAGUUCGCAGAGGUAGUUUCAAAAAAGAAGAAGAAGGAUAAGAGGGACAAGAGCCCCAACAAAAGCAGCUUAAUAAAUGGUUGAAGAAAAACAAACCGUUUUAUGAGAGUAUUAUAGAAACCCAUGUGAAACAGCCUAAAUGUAGGAAUUUCAUUAAUAGAUCGCUUCCCGGCUGGUCUUUUGAACAGAAUUAUGAUUUCUCCAUUUAACAAGUGUAAAGGCUGUUGUGGUGGCUAAGUCUUUGCAGAUGAUCACCUACAAAGUUAUGUUUCCUGAUGUGCAGCAGUGGGUUAUUUUGUCAGUGAUGUAUGUUUCUACAGUUGAGACUCUGAAAAAGGAUCUUUGGGCAGAGCUGAUUGUUUUGUCUUCAAGCCAGACUGUUGAAGAAAAAGAAUGGAUGGUCAUUGAGGAAUUUAAUCAAGUUCUCCAUCUACAUGAGCAUUCAAGAGCUAUUACUCUUAAUGUGGAUAGGAGGACAAGAGAAUUCAGGCAGUGUUUGUUGUCGGCUGAGGUGUCAGAUUUGAACUACUGAGGAAACACAUUUACUUGGUGGAAUAAAUGUAGUGCCAGGCCAACUGUGAAGAAGUUGGACCACAUUCUUGUAAAUGAGGUUUGAUCUACUUUUUUCCCCUCUUCAUAUGCAAUAUGUGGAGAGCAUGGUUUUUCAGACUAUGCUUCUUGUGUUGUCGUCUUGGAGUUGGGUUCUCAAAGGCAGAGGAGACCUUUUAAAUUCUACAAAUUUUGCCUCCAGAACCAAGACUUUUACCCUCUGGUUUGUGAACAUUGGUUCUCAUGUAACAUGGUGGAAUCAGCAAUGUUAUGUCUCUCAAGGAAGCUUAAGCUUCUGAAAAAUGUCAUAUGUAGAUUCAGUAGAGAUAAUUUCUAGGAUUCAGAGAAAAGAGUUAUUGAAGCUCAUGAGAAGCUUUUGCUUUGCCAGUCUUAGACUCUAACUGAUCUGUCUCGAACAAAUGCAAAACUGGCGUUUGAAGCACAAAGAAAGUGGCAGAUCCUGGCAAGUGCUGAAGAGUCCCUUUUCUGCCAGAGAUCAAGUGUAACCUGACUUAAAGAAGGUGAUUGUAACACUUCUUAUUAUCACAGAAUGACUGCAUCUAGGAAAGCCAUAAAUCACAUUCACUUCCUUAUUGCACCAGAUGGAGAACAUUUUGAAUAUCAAACAGGAGUUUAAGAGCAUUGUGUUGAUUAUUUCUCACACUUUAUGGGUUGUGAGGUUGGUCCCCAGAUGCUGAUCUAGUCGGAUAUGGAGCUCCUCCUUCCAUUUUGAUGCUCUCAGGCCCAAAAAGAGAGUAUGAUAAAGAGCUUCUCGAAGGAGGAAAUCAAACACCUGCUUUUCUCAUUGCCAAAAAACAAAACCAGUGGACCUAAUGGGUAUUCCGCUGAGUUUUUCACCUGUUACUGGAGUAUUGUAGGGCUGAGGUAUGUGAGGCAGUUGAAGAAUUCUUCCGAUUUGGAAAGCUGCUUCAGCAAUGGAACACUACAACUUUGAUCCUCAUUCUCAAUAUCACAAACGCCUCUUCAACAUCUGAUUUCAGGCCAAUAUCCUGUCUCAACACUAUUUACAAAGUCAUAUUCAAGUUAUUGGCAACCAGAUUUCAGAAGAUCCUGUCUCAGGUAAUAUAUCCCUCUUAAUAGGUUUUCAUGCCAGGUAGGCUGCUUGCAGAAAACGUUCUACUGGCUACGAAAAUUAUGCAUGGCUAUAACUGGAGGAACAUCGAUUCCAGAGCAAUGCUUAAGGUGGAUCUUAGAAAGGCAUUUGAUUCAGUAAGAUGGGACUUUGUCCUCUUGACCUUAAAAGCGUUGGAGUUAUCAGAAAUAUUUGUUAAAUGUAUCAGUCAGUGCAUCACAACUCCCUCGUUUACAAUUUCAGUUAAUGAUAUCACCAGAUGCUACUUCAAAAGCGCAAAAGGAUUAAGGCAAAAAGACCCUCUCUCUCCUUACCAUUUUUCCUUGCAACGGAGGCCUUCUCAGGAUUUUCCACUCUAGAUUUGAGGCUGGGUAUAUCCAUUACCAUCCCAAGACGGCAGAACGGAACAUAUCUCACCUGAUAUUUGCAGAGGACGUGAUGAUUUUUUUUAUGGUGGGAGUUCAUCGUUACACAGCAUAACUGAAGGAUUAGAAAACUUUGCGUCUUGGUCAGGAUUGCACAUGAACAGAGACAAGACUCAACUAUUUCAGGCAUGAGUAAACCACAUUGAAUCCACUGCAAUGGCAAGCUAUGAAUUCACUGUAGGUUCACUAUCAAUCCAAUACUUGGGUCUUCCCCUUAUGCAUCGUAAACUGAGACUCUCUAAGUAUGACCUCCUUUUGGAGAAGCUUGCUAAUAUAUUCAGAUCUUGGGCUGUUACAACCCUCUCAUUCCCAGGGAGAGCUCAGCUGAUUGCUUCAGUGAUAUUAGGAACCGUCAACUUCUAGAUUUCCACGUUUAUGCUCCCCAAAGGUUGUAUUAAAAAUUGAAUCUCUGUGUGCUAGGUUAUUGUGGUCUGGUAGUAUUGUGACAAGAUGAGGAGUAAAAGUAGCAUGGUUUACUGUGUGUUUGCCUAACUCUGAAGGAGGUCUGGGCCUGAGAAAAUUUUCUGUGUGGAACAAGACGCUAUGUCUGCGGUUCAUUUGGUUACUAUGCUCUGAAAGUGGAUAUCUCUAGGCUGAAUGGCAUAUCAGAGCUUCUGGUUGGUGGAGGCAUAUUCAGCUGAUUCAUGGACGUGGAAAUCUCUAUUGGAUCUUAGACCAUUGGCUGAAAUGCUCUUAGGAAAUCUGUUGGAAAUGGACGAAAAACAAAUUUUUGGUUGGAUUUUUGGACACCUCUUGGUCCACUAAUUAAACUUCUGGGUAAUGAUGGCCCGAGAAAUAUCAGGCUCCGUCUUUCUGCUAUAGUCGCAGAUACAUGCACAAUGGAGACUUGGAGAAUCCCAUCGCCAAGAUCUGUAGCACAGCUGAGUCUCCAUAUGCACCUAACGACUAUCAACUUACCUUCUUCCUCUCAGAUCGAAGAUGACUGUUUUUGGUUGGAAAAUGGUGUUAAGUGCAGCCAGUAUUCCUCCUCUAAGACUUAGGAUGAUCUAAGGCCACAACAAGGUGAAACAGUGGUCUAAGCUUGUAUGCUUUAAAGAUUGUGUUUCGAGGCAGGCUUUCAAUAUAUGGAUUGCACACUUGAAUAGGCUCCCCACUAGAGCCAGAAUAGCUUUUAGAGGAACAAAUAUAUUCACAGAUUGUUGUCUUUGUUCCAGAGACGAGGAAACGAGAGAUCAUUUGUUGUUCAGUUGUGCUUAUAGCUCGGAAAUCGGAAAUCUGGAGGCUGAUACUUACAAGGUUAGACCAUACCCAGAGUCUGUUCAUCUUGUGGUCGGAGUUGUUAUCAUGGAUAAGUAUGCGUUCUGAUGCUGCCCCUUAUACCUGAAAGGUGGUGGCUCAGGCUAUGGUUUACCACAUUUGGAUGUCAAAGAAACAAUUUGCUGCACAACUAAUAAAGGAUUCCUGCAUCCAGCAUUUUCAAGUCCAUUGAUCGUGUGACUCGAAACACCAUUACUACGAGAAGACAAAGACGUUGCUUUAGCAACUUUAAUGUCUCUUUGGCUUCAAUGAAACAAUAUAAAAUCUAAUUUACUGUGUAUUGUUCUCCUUGUUUUUUAUUUCUUUUUUGCCAAGGAAGUUUUGUAACAGGUUAGCAUCUUUUAUAACCUUCUUUUCAUUUUAAUGAUAUUAACAUUCAUAGCAAAAAAAAAAAAAAAAGAAAUGGUACUUGCAAUGUUUUACACCAUGUUUGUGUUUUAAAAAUAUUUCACACUACAUAUUCAAAGUUAUAAUGCAGGAUACAAUUUGUUUCUAGUCGAAAAGGUCAAAAAUAUCCAAAUUUUUUAUGUGGUGUUUUCAAGAAUUAUGCUUUUAAGAGAAUUUAAGAAAAUCGGACUAUUCUAUCGAGAUACUAUAACUUAUUCAACAGAAUAUCUAAAGCAUUUGUUCUGAAAGCAAGAAUUCUAGAUGCUCUUCUCCCCAUUUGUUUUUGGUCGAAUGCCACAAAAGAUGUUGAGAAUUAGGCACAAGAACCGGGUUCAAUAAGUUGACAAAUACCAAACCGAGGACCGACGUGGAAUCGUGGAGAAAAAGUUACAUUACAAUAAAGAUAAAUAAAGAAAAGGGAAGAUGACGUAAAGCUCAGAUUUGGAGCCUAACGAACUCCACGUCACCGCCUAAGUUCAUCCAUUGAAAUUUGACGGCGUCUUCUACUCUUCUAUCAUAACCCUUCGUUCUUUCAUGUGAACCACGUCACCGCCAUUCUCUUUUUUUUUUCUUUCUUAAUACAUUUCUCAAUAUGCGUCCAAUAUCAUAAAUAUAAUAUAUAUAUAUAUAUACAAUUUAACCUAUUAAGGCAUUGCAACUUGUAGUGAACUUUCAAAGGAACUUGCAUCCACAAAUUUAAACAUUUUUGCAUGUUGUAGAAUUGAACACGAAUAAUAAAGUGUGUAUUGAUGAUACACUUGUGUUACUUAUUUGACAAUUUAUUUGGUUUUCUUAGAAAAACUGAAACUGGCUUAUACAGUAUGUUUGUACACAUUUUUUGUAUUCGAAGAAAUUGGGGCAUCAUACAGUGACAUUGCUAUUAAUGUUUCUUCUAUAUCAAACCAAGUGAUAACAAAAUAUAAAAAGUAAUAAUGUUGACUUGUAAAUAAAGUAAGAAAAUUAAAUUCUGUCAUUUCAGAAGAGGAAGUAUGUCACAUGUAUAAUAGAUCAUCGAUACUUUUCAUGAGAACUUCCACAAGAAAGCCAUUGACUUCUUAUACCUUUCUCAAUUUUCCAGCUUGACCCAUUUUUUUCUUUUGAAGUUAUGAGAACUUUAUGUAUAAAAACAUUUUAGACUAGACCUCAAGAAAAUUCAGAUAUUUUUAUAAUUUGUGAAAAAAAUGUUGAAAUAAAUUGAUUGGAUUAUUUCUAUUACUAACGUUAAUCCAGUAUUAUGGUGGUCUAUAUUAUUAUUAUAGCCACCUAUACGGAAUGUUGAUGUGCCAAACAAUGGAGACACACAUUGUGUACUUGGAUUAAUGAAUAAAAUGACAUGUAUCAGUCUAUGGGACACAUAGUAAACUAGAUUAUUUCAUACCUAAAAUGCUAUAAUAUUUGAUUGAUAAAUGAUAAGAACAAAGAAAAGUUCUUGCAAGUUUGAAAAAAAAAAAGAGAAUAUCUUGACUCGUGCGGAUCUCAAACUUUUCUUUUCUAUCCUCUUCUCAAAUUAUAUUCCAAGUAAAACACGCAAUUACCAUAAGAGUUAAACAAUAUAAAAAGAGUUCUCAACUAAAUCUUCCAAAAGAGGCUUUCUCUUAUGGUUCACAUGUAAGUAUAUACUUUAAUUUACAUAAAAUUUAAUUUAACGAAUCCUAAUGAGCCUAUUUUCUGAACACGUACAAAUCAAUUUAAUGCAUAUCUUCACAUUUACACAAGAAUAAAGAAACUACACAUAUUUUUACUCCAUUGCUUCUGAAUUUAUAUAAUUCUUUCCAUUUAAUAUGAUUGAGUUUUUAUCCCUCUAACAAGGAAAAAUAUUAUAUAUAGAUACAAGGAAAGCCCAUUUCAUUAUCUAUCUUCUCUUUGAUUCAGCGAGCGAAAUAAAAACAAAAGGCCAAAAAUGGGUGCAGACGCAAUCCAAACGAACGGUCACGAUCCCGCCAAGUUAACCGCCGCGAGAGGGAUCCAACGGUUGAGAUGCGCCGUGAAGAACUACGAGUGGGGCAAACUCGGACCGGACUCACUUGUUGCGAGGCUCCACGAGGCGAAUUCAGGGGACCGAGUCGACCCGGUGGUUCCUCACGCCGAGUUGUGGAUGGGUACUCACGAGUCGGCACCGAGUUACGUUGUGAAGGAAGAAGAAUUCGGGUCGGGUCGUAAUGGAUCCGAAUGCAUGGUUACAUUGAAAUCAUGGGUUUUGGAUUAUCCGAAUUUACUCGGGUCUAGAGUCGUGGACAAAUGGGGUUGUGAUCUUCCUUUCCUCUUCAAGGUAUUAUAUUUUAAAAGUUUCCAAUUAAAACAUGUAUAUUCAAAACCUUCUUUCAAAAAAAAAAAAAAACAUGUAUAUUCAGAUUCUGUUUAUGGUAAAUCUUUUUGUUUUUCCAGUUUUGUCUCAUACAUAAUUGUUCAGGAACAAAAGUAUUAUUUAUUUGAUCCUAAGAUUCUCAUUUUGAAUAUUUUUGCUCUGUUUUGAGGAUUUUACUUUUUGACUCUGUUUUCUUAUAAAAUUUCUAAUUAAAAGUCAAAACAUAUAUAUAUAUAUAUAUAUAUAUGUAUUUUUUUGUAAUUUCAGAUUCUGUGAAUUGUCAAUUUCUCCACUUUUUAUAUUUACAUAUAUUAUAUAUACAGCCAAUUUGUCUUGUUAGAUACAUAUAUAUUUUGGCUCUGUUUUGAGGAUGAUACAUUUUAACUCUGUUUUCUCAAUUUAUAAAAAUGCAUUUCUUUUUCUCUGUGUGUUUUAAAUUUAAAACAUAAAGGUUUGAUUCUAAUGAAUAAGAGUUUGAUGUUGAAAUGUGCAAAAAAUAAAAACAGGUUUUGUCAGUGACGAAAGCAUUGUCGAUUCAAGCACAUCCAAACAAAGCCUUAGCAGAGAAAUUGCAUAGAGAAGAUCCUCUUCUUUACAGAGAUGCUAACCAUAAGCCUGAGAUUGCUCUCGCCAUUACUCCUUUUCAAGCUCUUUGUGGUUUCGUAUCUCUUAAUGUACUAGAUUCUUCACUUCUCUGCAAACAUCUAAUUUAGUCGGUUUUUGAUUUAGAUAACUUCGGUUAUUUUGCCUAUCACAUAUGCUAAAUCCAAAAUUGAACCGGUUCUGUACCACUUUUGAUAUCAAAUUCAGGAGCUGAAGGAAGCCAUCGCCAAUGUACCAGAAAUCACAGAGCUUGUCGGAAGUAAAGCAGCAGAUCAAAUCUUCAAAGUCAACGAACACGAUGGAGACGAAACAAGUGUUAAAUCCGUUGUCCGUUUGAUUUUCACGCAAUUGAUGUCUGCAAACAUCAAUGAUACAAAGCAAGUCAUAUCACAGAUGAAGAUUCGUCUGAUCUCAGAAACAAACCACCGUGAGUUAUCGGAGAAGGAGAAGUUAGUAUUGGAACUAGAGAAACAGUAUCCAGGUGACGUGGGCGUGAUCUCAGCAUUCUUCUUUAACCACGUCAAGCUUAAUCCCGGAGAGGCUUUGUAUCUUGACGCCAACGAGCCACACGCUUACAUUUCCGGCGACUGUGUUGAGUGUAUGGCGGCUUCAGACAACGUUGUUAGAGCUGGUCUCACUCCGAAACACCGCGAUGUUCAAACUCUGUGUUCUAUGCUGACCUACAAAUUGGUAACUUUCUUUACACGUUAACGUUUUUUUUGGUUUAGUUGGCUAGCAAAAUUUGGAUUGUACCCUAACCCUAACCAAAACCGAAAAUUUAUUUUUCUUUGUUUGGUUAUUGAUUAAUUGUACCGGAUUUGUUUCAGGGCUACCCGGAGAUUUUGAAAGGAUUUCCUCUGACUCCAUACAUUACGAGAUACCUUCCACCAUUUGAUGAGUUUGAAGUGGACCAUUGUGAUCUUCCUAGAGAGAAAUCCACUGUUUUUCCGGCCAUACCAGGGCCAUCGGUUUAUCUGGUUAUUGAAGGAAAAGGGACAUUGAAAACCGGUUCAUCUCAAUUGUUGGUUAAACGAGGAGAUGUUUUGUUUGUUCCGGCACAUAACGAGAUUCACGUAACCGGAGAAAGUGAUGUGAUGAAGCUUUACAGAGCUGGAGUCAGCAGCAGAUUCUUUCAAACAAUGUAGACUAAGUAAAGAUACAUAUAUAUAUAUUUAAUUUGUUAUCUAAAUGUAACCAUAGGGAUCAAGGCAUUGACGUGAUCAUAGUCAAUAUUGGUCCAUGUUCUUUAAUCCUACAAAUGUCCCAUUACGAAUCAAGGGUUCAAGGGGUUGUUUUUCUAUUAACUUUUGUUGUUUCUUCUACACCUUUAAAAUUGAAUUAUAUAUGUAAAAUGAUUAUAAAACAAUGUUUUUUUUUUUACUUUUUGCUAUUGUAGUGUAGUAACUAGUAAUUAUUCUUCCUUUACCUGUUUAAACUUUAAUUUCUAGAACUACUCUGCAAAAGCACAUUUGUUCAGUUGUAAUAUGUAGAGAUCGAACCACAGAGACGAGAAAUUCGCUCAAUAAACCUAAUAGACUCUAAUUGCGCUAAGAAGAAAUAAUGAAAUUGAGAGCAGCAAUGCAAUAAAAAACGGUUUUAAAUUCGAUGGGAAAGAAUUAGGCUCAGGGUGUUUCACAGAAAAUCAGAGAAUGCAGACAAAUCGAUUAGUCAUGAUUCAGAUUUAAGCGCAAUUCUUGAACUCAAAUCACGAAAUUAUAAUUAACUAACUUUUGUUGCGAAAAUUAUUUAAAUCUAAAUCCCAGAAUCCCAAUUUUCUUUGCAAUCCUAAAGAUAUAAAUUAGCCUUAAGUGCAGGUUCGAUAUGUUCACAAAGUGUCUAAACCAAUUUUUUUUGUGGAUAGCUACUUUGCUCAUCCUAGGUUCUUUCGGAUUAUUCAAUUACAGUUUCGUGUCAAUCAAUUAACCUAAGAUCUAAGUUCUAGGUGAUCAGUCCAAAAUUAGCUUUAAGAAUAAUCUAUGGUGAAUUACUAAUCAGAUUAUGACCCCUAACUAAUUAAUUAUCUAAAAUUCAAAGGGAUCCCUUAUGAGAACCCUAAACCUAACAAACAAACUACUCAAAUAUGGAGAUUGAAUCAAUAAACAUGAAUGAAUAGAUUGCAGAAAGCAGUAAAAAGAUUAAUAAACAGAGGUUCAAAAUCUUCUCUCAAACAAACAGAGUCUCAGACUUGUCUCCCUAAAAGCUCUCUCAAGAUCAAUAGAAAUCAAAAGUCUCAAAGAAAAUCUAGAGUGUAGCCAAAACACGUGGCUGAAAACCCUAUCAAAAGCUAAAACACAUGUUGGACUUCCCUGUAAAUAUUGGAGACUUCUGGGCUCAAGAGAUUCUUUAAAACUUAGACAAAAUCACGUUUUUCCUUAUUCACGACAUUGGUGUCGAGCAACACCAAAACAUAUAAAUCAUCUUUCACGAAUUUGAUCCCUGCUUAGUUCCAAAAUGCUCUAAAAUCUCCAAUUAAACUCCAAAUACAUUUAAGACCUGAAAAGACUCCAAAAAAUUAAAAAAACACUAAAGAGACUCUAUAAAUAAAACCUAUCAUGAUCAAAAACCAUAAAAAAAAACCAUGAUAUAUCAUUCUCCAUGAUAAGCAUUUUUCGAAUGGUCUGAGUCGAACAAAACAAUGUUCUCUAAAGUAUAAGGCCAAUUCUUUUUGCCUCCCUCGUCACUUACCUUUUGUUUGUGGCUUCCAUGGCAUAGACUAGAGAGAUGACCCCGAGAAGACCUAAUCUAGCACGCAUUUGUUUGGAUGUUGCUAAUGUUCCGUUUUAAAGUACAUAUGCAAAGAUCGUGGAAAGUAAAACGAACUCAAUCUUAAGUCUUGAGACAAUGAUUUUUGCCAAUUUUCCGGUAAGCUUUCCCGGUGAAAUCUUUCACUGGAAUGACCUGAUUAUGGAUGCGCUGGAAACUUGAGUACUAUAACGUGAUAUACUUAUAUGUCAAAAUCGAAUUUAAACUGAAUGAGAAAUGAGGAUUCUUAGAGAGUAUAGCUUGAAAGCUUAAAAAUAACAUAAGUUACCAAAUGACAAGUGUGAUUUGUCCCACAUUAGCAAUUCAACGUUACAUUUUGAACGUAGUGUUACGUUCUCCCCUUGAUAAUACUCAAUAGAUCUGCUUCUAGCCUGUCCCAACAAUCUGAUUCGGAUUGAGAAUUGCGGUUUUUGCGAACGUUGUUAAAGAUUUCCAAAAAAAAAAAUAUUUCAUUACGGCUUUUCACAUCAAAUCGGAAAAACUCUGCUUAGUUUUAACUUUUUAGGGAAUUUGAUAAAUAUUUGACAAACUUUGUGAAAAUAACUUUUGGAGUAGCAAAAUUCCGCAAAAAAAAAAAAAAAACUCAGAGUAAACUUACUGACAAAAGAAAAAAGUUUCCUCAAGUUGGUUUAGUCGCAUUCCUUUUGUCAAGCACUUAAUCCACUACAAAGACGUUUUGUUGUAAUUUAACCGAACUGAACAAUCAUUCCAAAUCUUAAUAAGCAGCUAAAGAGAGACAUUGAGAGACCAAGAUAAACCGGUUUACUUGCACCUACUUGCUGUUUGUUAAAGCUUUGGUUACAAAAUGUGAAACGAUUCCAACCGGACAGAAGAGAAGGCACAAUGAAACCGAAUGCCUCGUCUCAAUCUUAUUCUCUAGCCCAUCAUUAAAAACUUGCCUGCAGAGAAACACUCAAAACAUGAGUUAUAAGAAACAUGCUAGGAUCAAUCAGAACCUGAAAAGUGCAAUAUAGUACCUUGCAGCGAAAAGAUCUAUAACAAGAAGAUGAAUCCAAGCAGAAGCAAGAGUCAUUUCACUUGAGAACAUUUUCGCUAUUCCAGACAACUGCAAAUGAAAAAAAAAAAAAGAAAUUUUAGAAACUGGAAUGUACACAUUUUCUUGUUUUCGAUAUUUCCUGAUAAUUGGAGGAAAAAGCUAAAACCUCUGGCAACAUGUAUUUACUGGAAAACAUGUAUUUGAGAGUAUCAGGCGUCCAAGAAAGGUAUAACAAAUACGCGUAUAAUACGCCUAAGACGAUAUACGGUAUGCUACUCUCCAUACACUUUUUGGUCUGCACAAGGAGAAAACAUACACUCAAUUCAAUAUGAACUUUUUUGAUUCUGCACAAGAAGUUGUAAAACUGCUAAACAAAAACUCACAAUUUCAGCUUUUGGAGCUACAACCAUUAGAGUGUAAAAGGGUAAAACAGCGGUUGUUCCAACCGCAAAUACACUGCUUGCAAUCUGAGAAGUAGCUAUCCCUGCACAAGAACAUGUUAUGUCUCUGUCCUACUUUCAAUUUAAACAUUGAAGAGCUAUAGAUUCUAGACAUAUAUCAAGCCUCUUUUUGGUUUAUAAUGUUUCAGUUAAGAGACAUUACAUGAAGCUCGUACACCAGAGGAUUUCUUUUGAACAAGAGAGGACGAGUUCGAUGAAACAUUAGGGAAAAGUGCGAUUUUUGAUCCUCCGAUAAAGCUCCAACGAUUCUGAAGUCGAAUACUUGACGAACCAACGCAUAGUUUAGACUUGACAUUGCUGAGAGAAAGACUUGUUAUCGAGCUCUUAGCUGAAAUGUUGCGAUUCAUCAUCUGAAUCACCAAACAAAAUGAAUCAAUCUGAUGAAAUAUAAAAAACUUCUUUAUUUCUUAAAAUUUAGGAAUCUGAGACCAAAAGCACUUUGAUCUGAACAACAACGAAUCAGGAACAGAGUUAGGUUCUGUAACAGGGACCCAUGAGGAGUAAAUUCAACUUCUUUAAUGUCUGCGUCAAUUCGAUCUGAUUCAAAGGAUAAAACUUUAAGGUUACCCAUAAGGAAUCUGAACUAUUCGAAAUUGUAGAAAGCUCGACAUAAGAAUCUAAUCCGACAAUCUCCAACAACUGUACAUACAUACAUACAUACAUACAUACAUGAUACAUACAUACAUACAUACACACACAUAGAUAUAGACAUAUAUCUGCGUAUACCGAAAAUUGGAGAAGAAUUGAAAAAGGAAGAGAAAAGGUAGAUACCGAGAGAGAUGAAGAAGACAAAGGCUGGGAAAUGCAAGAAGAUAAAGCCAUCUGCGAUUCAAAUCUUCAAUAGUCUUUGCCAGAAUUUGGCCAUUCAUUACCUUCUUCAACGAGCUCUCUCCAUAUAUAUAUGUAAAGUAUCAAUUUUUAGAGAGGAGAGUUGAGAGUUUUCCACUGGUUGAAAAGGGUAAGUGGAGAAGAAGCUAAGAGAAAAAGUGCUCACUCACUCUUUCUUCAUCAGUGUGGACAAUUAUAGUUGCUCAUCCACCCGAAUUUUUUAAAAAAGUUUUGGUCUUUUUUAGUUUUCCUCGUUUACUUCUGUUUCGCAUAAACAAAAAAAAAAGAAAAAACCAUUAUGAGUUUGAGUUAAUUUUAAAGAGAAAAUCAAAUUUAAAGAUUCUUUAUAUUGUAUGUUCAAAAUUGCAAUAUAUUAUGGAAAAAAAGAGAAGAUUUUUUCCUAAUUUUAGAUAAAAACCUUUAAUAAAAAUCAAAAAAUUAUUAAGAUAUUAAUUUAACCUUAUAUUUUAGAUAUUGUUCUUUUUCUGGUCAAUAUAAAAAAUUACAGUUUACCAUUCUUAUAUAAAAAAAAAUUAAUUAGACUCAAAUGGAAUGUUUUUAUUUUUUUAACAAGAAUAUAACUUUCAUAGAACCUAAUACCCAAAAAAAAAACAUUUGACCCGACUAAAUUAAAAUUCAAGGAAAGAUUGGAGCUUUGAUCCUUUACUCGAUAAAAAAAAGGUUCUUCAUUGUAUGAUCAAAUGACUUGUCGGAUUGUAUUUGUAGGUGGCUCAUCGUAGGAUUAAUAGCUUCUCGGAUUUUGUUAUCCUUGUCUUGUGUUUUGCUUUUUCCGUGAAGAUCAAAAUUUUCUUCUAUACAUUCCUGCUAUAUAUUCCAUCAUGUUCUACCGGUUACACUUAUAAGCCUAUAAGGAUAUCUAAUCUACUUUUUUAUUUGAUAAAAACCUAAUAUCUUUGUUAAUGGAUAUUUGUGCUUAAACUGAAUUUAGACACAACACAGGUCUAGUUCAGGACAGAACAAGACAAAAGUGACAGUGCUACUUCUACUCAGCAGUGGUUGUGACUUCCUCUAAAGACAAAAGUUGGUGUUUCCACCAUUAUUUCGGUUUUGCUUUUAUUAUAUAUUUUAUUUUAAUUUAUUUUUCGCUACAUGAGAAUUGCAUUAACGAAGGACAUUAUAUAUGAAAACAAAAAAAAACAAUAAAAAGAUAUACAUACAUGUGUCUGACACUCAUUGUUUGUGAAAUCAGUUGGGAGUAAGAUAGCGCUUGAGUGGGCUAUUUGGUAUGAUAGCUUCUCUCUAUUGAUGGGCCUUAUUGACCCACCCCACUUCAGUUUUGUUUAGUCAUUCACAACAAGAAAAACAUGAAAACAAAAGCAACACUUGUCUUUUCUAUCUCUCAAUCUGUAAGUGGUAUAUGCGCAUUUCGUUGAAUUCGAUUGAGACCAAAACUCUUUUAAAACAUAAUGUAUAGUUCUUAGGAUUAUAUGGGGAAAAUAUAUGAUGUCUCAAAGAUUUUUCAUAACAUAUUAUAUUCCUUAUAAUAAAAGGUCACCUGGGGUUUUUCUAUAAACCGGGGUUUUUUUAUAAACCGCCGGCUUUUCUAUAAACCGCCGGCUUUGUCUCUGGAGAUGUUGUAUCAUCUGCCGGCUUUGUGUAAUCCGUUGGCUUUGCUCUGUAACACUAUGGUGAUCAAUAUAAUAAUAUUCAAUGAAAAAAAAAAAAGGUCACCUAAAUAAUUAAAAAUUUGAAUUUUUACGACUCAUAUUUCUAUCCUAUUCCAAAGCUAGGAAAACAACAUAAAGAGUUACAAAUUCUUACUAUAUAGUACUUCCAACAAUAUCUUUAUGUAAAUUUGUGCCAAGUCAUUUUGAGUGGAAAAUGUAGAAUAUAUGAUCCACAAGAUCCUUGAAUAUACUUGGGUAUAUAGAAAUAAAAAUGAAUAUCCGAGACUCUUAUCUACAAGCCUAUCCUUAAGAAGGCACGUCCACGAAUGUUUCUAUCACAGAUUUUCAGUGGGCCAUCAUCUAUUACUUCAAGAUAUUGUUCUAAAAAUGCAUCUCAACCUCAAGCUUACUAAUCAUGUGACAAAAGUGAUAAUGUGAAUCUAGUUUUUCAAAUAAUUUCUUUAUUCAAUGACGACUAAUCAAAGAGUUGGUAUAUUUUUGUAUUCACAGUUCUUCAACUUUGUAUAUUUUCAUAUCUUGAGCCGCAUUGUAAUUUGUUUUUUCUUAUAUGCAAAAUUCAAAAUCAAAGAUUUAUAGAACAUUACAUAUUUAUUUCAUCAGACAUUUGAGAAUCCGAUAGAAAAUGUCUCGCAAACCGGAAAACAAACGUUAAAUCCGGAAAUUAAAACAAAACUAAGGAAACCAAAAAAAAAAAAGCAGAUGAUAAAAUCAAAGGUGAGGAGGGAGAUAAAGUUUUUUUUUUUUGAUGUUUACACAAAGCAAAGAAGCAGUGAAAUUAAGCAUCGGUGAAGCUUGCUGGCUUGUAGGCGAUGAAACUGAUGCACUGGACUUGACGGGUGUUGUCGAAUCCGAUGAUCCUAAUGAAGGCCUGGGGGUACUCCUUCUUGCACUCUUGCACUUCCUUCAACACUUGAGCUGAGUCAGUGCAUCCGAACAAAGGAAGCUUCCACAUUGUCCAGUACCGUCCAUCGUAGUAUCCGGGAGUGCUUCCGUGCUCACGGUGCACAAAUGCGUUCUACAAAAACACAUUACACAAAACCAUUCAAAAACAUAAAUCAAGAUUCUGCUUAGGACCUCUAAAUAGUUAUUAACUUGAUUGCAAGAUUCAUAUGGUCCAAGAGAUCAAGCUACUCUAUAAAUGAUUUUUAUUACCUCCAACUCGAAUUCAACACAGGGAAUCCACUUGUUGCGGAGAAGGUAGUCAACUUCCUUAGCCAAUUCAACUUCGGUUAGGUCAGGAAGGUAAGAGAGAGUCUCAAACUUCUUCUUACCAAUAGGAG
rnacentral:lncRNA from 1 species